AUGUGGACGCUUGGGCGCCGCGCGGCUGCCGGCCUCCUGCCCCGCUCGGUGCCCCCGGGCUCAGCCCCGGCAGGCGCCGGAGCCCAGGGCCAGACGAGGAACGCCCCGCUCUACAGCCGCCGGGGCCUCCGCGUCGGGACCGGAGCGACCCGCGUACCCGGCCACGCCAGUCUGAGCCUCCACCGCCUUGAUCAGAUCGUGAAUGUCAAAAAGCAGAGCGUCUGUUUGAUGAAUAUGAGGACAGUGGGAACUUUGGGCGACCCUGGCUUUCUGGAUGAGACGACCUAUGAAAGACUGGCGGAGAAGACACUGGACUCCUUAGCAGAGUUUUUCGAAGACCUUGCAGACAAACCUUACACAUUCGAAGACUAUGAUGUCUCGUUCGGGAGUGGUGUUUUAACAGUUAAACUGGGUGGAGAUCUAGGAACCUACGUGAUCAACAAGCAGACCCCAAACAAGCAGAUCUGGUUAUCUUCACCCUCCAGCGGGCCCAAGCGCUAUGACUGGACAGGGAAGAACUGGGUGUACACGCAUGACGGCAUGUCCCUCCACGAGCUGCUGGCCACGGAGCUGACUAAAGCCUUAAAAACCAAACUGGACUUAUCUUCUCUGGCCUAUUCCGGAAAAGGCGCUUGAUGCCCAGCCCAGUCCCAAAGACAUGAACAGCUCUAAAGCCCAGACCCCAGCUCCGUCCUGCAGCUGAGUGUCUGGUCUGUUCCAUUCCCGCUUUGGAGGACAGUUGCAUGGUGUGUAAGGAAGAGCUAUGUGAAAAAGCGUGUUGCCUCCCACCCUCCCCCAAGUUCGGAUUUGUAAUUUCUGUAGUGUUUUUGGAUUUAUUGUCUGAUUUCCUCCCUCACAGGAUAUCCCUUCUGUUUUAUAAUGUCCCUAUCCUUGUACAUUUAUAUAUAACCUUACAACAAAGAAAAAUAA